rnacentral:rRNA from 1 species
GACAGAGGUGCCGAGCGUUAGGCGGAAUCACUGGGCUUAAAGCGUGUGUAGGCGGAUGCCUAAGUACCUUGUGAAAUCCCAUGGCUCAACCAUGGAACUGCUUGGUAUACUGGGUGUCUUGAGCUAUCUAGGGGCAACUGGAACAAACGGUGGAGCGGUGAAAUGCGUAGAUAUCGAGAGGAACACCAGUGGCGAAGGCGAGUCCCUGGACAACACCUGACACUGAGGCACGAAAGCUAGGGGAGCAAACAGG